GGGGUCUGAGCCAAAAGAGGGGCGGGGGGAGCACAGAGACACCCGUCAGAAGAACCCUCCACACAGAAAGAGCAAGUCCGCAAACCUGGCCCUCAAAAGCAACCCUCCACAAGGCUGCAUUCUCUAGUUUCUCAAAUUGUGCGCCGCAGAGUAUUUCCAAUUUCAAGUGCUUUGCAAAAGUCCUCUUAUGAACAUCUUUCUAAAAGGGGAGCCCGUUCGACAAAAGGCAAGCCUCACCUGCACCAAGGCAUCCUCCCCUAGCAAGGAGCAAGACAGCGUGGGGGUCGUGCCCAAGAACCCGGAGUCUGUCACUUCCUCUACCGUCUCCCCGAUGGACAGGACCAGGGUGGCGUUGACGAAGGAUACAAUGAUAAGUUCACUACACCUAUCUGUGGGUUGGUUCCGUAAAAUCCCUUCUACACCAUCAGUUGUUUUAUUAUUGCAGAAGACCUCUGACAAUGGAUGCUGAAAAUGCACAGCCAAGAGAGUGAUAAAUAGAACACUGGAGGCUACCGAGAGAGGGCGAAGGGAACUGGCCAAAAACCUUGGCCAAAUAUAGUAAAACCAACUCAGCUUCCUGGGAAUCUCAAGGCAAAGGCAGCCAGAAGGCCCUGAUUAAAAGGUAUGAUAAGCCCAGCAAGACAUGGUUGCUGCUCUCAAUGGUGUGGCACCUCAAAAACCCCUGUGGAACACCAGCCACCAUGAGACAGGAUUAAGAAAAACUGAAGACAAGAAAAAGUCUCCAGACAUGCCAUACCCACCCACCCCCAAAUAAAAUUUCUGUAACUCUCAUAACAAUACAAAGCAUUGAUGUGUGGUUUCCA